AUUUUGGUACCAUCAAAGGUCGGGAAGUGUCCUUAAAUUGAUCUCCAAAUUCAGCAAUUUUGUUCAUUUUUUAAAUGUUCUGGUGGAAAAUGAUGACAGAAGAAGAGAUGCUUAAUCAAAUGGACUACAUUUUGAUACCAUCGAAUGUCGGGAAGUGCCCUUAAAUUGAUCUCCAAUUUCAGCAAUUUUGAACAUUUUUGAAAAGUUCUGGUGGAAAAUGAUGACAGAGGAAGAGUUACUUAAUUAAAUGGAACUCAUUUUGAUACUAUUAAGGGUCGGGAAUUGCUCUAAAAGUGAUCUCCAAUUUUAGUCAUUUUGUUCAUUUUUGAAAAGGUUUGGUACAAAAUGAUGACAGAGGAAGAGUUACUUAAUUAAAUGGACUUCAUUUUGAUACCAUCAAGGGUUGGGAAGUGCCCUUAAAUUGAUCUCCAAUUUUAGCAAUUUUGUACAUUUUUGAAAUGUUCUGGUGGAAAAUGGUCUGUAUCUUGCGUUUCCCUGGCCCGAUUUUUAUUUUCUUUUCUUCAGAUAACAGAGGAAGUGUUACUUAAUUAAAUGAACUUCAUUUUGAUACCCUCAAGGGUCGGGAAGUACCCUAAAAUUGAUCUCCAAUUUCUGCAAGUUUGCUCAUUUUUGAAAAGUUGAGGUCGAAAACGAUAUUGGGAAUAUUGGGAAUAAUGAUUUGCAGU